rnacentral:tRNA from 1 species
GGCAGUGUAGCUCAGCCUGGUAGAGCAAGGGACUCAUAAGCCUUGGGUCGGGGGUUCAAAUCCCUCCACUGCCACGA